UCGAUACGUACUCCCAGCUGUUAUUGGAUUUCUUCUAUGCUGCAUCACCCCAGCUGUCUGUCUCUGUAGAAAACUCAGGGCCAGGACACCAGACCAGAGUCCAGUCCAGGACCAGUUUCAUCUCAACUCAGUAGGAGAGGUGACCCUCCCUCCAUCACAGGGUGUCACACACAGUGGGACAAAUAACAAUCGCAGGAGUCAGUACACAGAGACGCUCAAUUCAAUCUAUGGCCUCUACUGAGCUGACAAGACGUUUGAAUGAAUGUUAAACAAGAGAAAUUUACAAACCCGGUGCUUCAAGGGAAGGCAAUCACAGAGAGGACAACUGUAUCACUGAUGCCUUUGUACAUUAUUACAUUAAAACCAGUGCAGUCACUUUAAGGACUUUGUUUUCACUUCACUAUUCAUGCUUCUCUUUGUGUUCUAAUAUAUUCUUGUGUUUCUUAUGGCUUUAUCAUUUGUAUGAUGUGUUGCAUGUUUCUAUGUUUGUUGUGCACCACGAGU